rnacentral:misc_RNA from 1 species
CAACCCUCAAGCACUGCUUGGCGUUGGGGCACUACGCGCCGAGCGUAGGCCCCUAAAAUCAGUGGCGGGCCCGCCGUGGCUCCGGGCGUAGUAGCAACACCUCGCCCCGGGACUGCGGCGCGCUCCGGCCGUUAAACCCCCCACCAUACUGAA